UAACGCGUGGAUAACCUGCCUCACACUGGGGGAUAACAGUUAGAAAUGACUGCUAAUACCGCAUAAGCGCACAGUACCGCAUGGUACAGUGUGAAAAACUCCGGUGGUGUGAGAUGGAUCCGCGUCUGAUUAGCCAGUUGGCAGGGUAACGGCCUACCAAAGCGACGAUCAGUAGCCGGCCUGAGAGGGUGAACGGCCACAUUGGGACUGAGACACGGCCCAA
rnacentral:rRNA from 1 species